GACGAACGCUGGCGGCGCGCCUAACACAUGCAAGUCGAACGAGAGAUGAGGAGCUUGCUCUUCAAAUCGAGUGGCGAACGGGUGAGUAACGCGUGAGGAACCUGCCUCAAAGAGGGGGACAACAGUUGGAAACGACUGCUAAUACCGCAUAACGCAUAGAGGUCGCAUGGUCUUUAUGCCAAAGAUUUAUCGCUGAAAGAUGGCCUCGCGUCUGAUUAGCUUGUUGGUGAGGUAACGGCCCACCAAGGCGACGAUCAGUAGCCGGACUGAGAGGUUGAACGGCCACAUUGGGACUGAGAUACGGCCCAGACUCCUACGGGAGGCAGCAGUGGGGAAUAUUGGGCAAUGGGCGCAAGCCUGACCCAGCAACGCCGCGUGAAGGAAGAAGGCUUUCGGGUUGUAAACUUCUUUGUCAGGGACGAGGAGAAGACGGUACCUGACGAAUAAGCCACGGCUAACUACGUG
rnacentral:rRNA from 1 species